UGGUCUCUUGGCUCACAGGAC
rnacentral:piRNA from 1 species